GAUUAAUGCUAUCGUAGCAAGAAUUUUCGCAGUUCACAUUUUUAGUUAAGAUUAUAAUUAGAUUUCUUUUUCUUAUUUAUCAACAAGGGUGCUGCAAUUAGAAAGAUCAUUCAAUGCAACAUACAUUGCUUUAUAACCCACGUCGAACGUUUUAUUUCAUAGUAUAUACCCAACGGAUGCUGAAAUGUGUCUUUUGUAAACAUUGGAAGCUUAACACAGCAAGCUGCUUUAAAGUCAGUAUUCUCAAGUAAGUAAAUAAAUCAACGUUACACGGAUUCACGCUUGAAAGAAAACCUCGCUUCUUUAACUGCUUAAUUUCCUCUUAGCAAAUAAAAUACUGCAAAUUUCAUACUACGAUUUUUGGG